UACGAAGGGGGCUAGCGUUGCUCGGAAUCACUGGGCGUAAAGCGCACGUAGGCGGAUUGUUAAGUCAGGGGUGAAAUCCUGGAGCUCAACUCCAGAACUGCCCUUGAUACUGGCGGCCUUGAGUCCGGGAGAGGUGAGUGGAACUGCGAGUGUAGAGGUGAAAUUCGUAGAUAUUCGCAAGAACACCAGUGGCGAAGGCGGCUCACUGGCCCGGUACUGACGCUGAGGUGCGAAAGCUAGGGGAGCGAACAGG
rnacentral:rRNA from 1 species